rnacentral:rRNA from 1 species
GACGAACGCUGGCGGCGUGCUUAACACAUGCAAGUCGAACGGAAAGGCCCUGCUUUUGUGGGGUGCUCGAGUGGCGAACGGGUGAGUAACACGCGAGUAACCUGCCCUUGACUUUGGGAUAACUUCAGGAAACUGGGGCUAAUACCGGAUAGGAGCUCCUGCUGCAUGGUGGGGGUUGGAAAGUUUCGGCGGUUGGGGAUGGACUCGCGGCUUAUCAGCUUGUUGGUGGGGUAGUGGCUUACCAAGGCUUUGACGGGUAGCCGGCCUGAGAGGGUGACCGGCCACAUUGGGACUGAGAUACGGCCCAGACUCCUACGGGAGGCAGCAGUGGGGAAUAUUGCACAAUGGGCGGAAGCCUGAUGCAACAACGCCGCGUGCGGGAUGACGGCCUUCGGGUUGUAAACCGCUUUCGCCUGUGACGAAGCGUGAGUGACGGUAAUGGGUAAAGAAGCACCGGCUAACUACGUG